AAUCAACGCUGGCGGCGUGCCUCAGACAUGCAAGUCGAACGCUGCUGUUCGCCUUCGGGUGGACAGCGGAGUGGCGCACGGGUGAGUAACACGUAGGUAAUCUACCUUUGGGUGGGGAAUAACAGCCGGAAACGGCUGCUAAUACCGCAUAAUGCAGCGGCAUCACAUGAUGACAGUUGUUAAAGCGAGGGAUCGUAAGACCUCGCGCCUGAAGAGGAGCCUGCGGCAGAUUAGGUAGUUGGUGAGGUAAUGGCUCACCAAGCCUGCGAUCUGUAACCGGCCUGAGAGGGCGGUCGGUCACACUGACACUG
rnacentral:rRNA from 1 species